rnacentral:rRNA from 1 species
UACGUAGGGCGCAAGCGUUGUCCGGAAUUAUUGGGCGUAAAGAGUUCGUAGGUGGCGUGUCGCGUCUGCCGUGAAAGCCCAUGGCUUAACUGUGGGUCUGCGGUGGAUACGGGCAGGCUGGAGGCUGGUAGGGGCAAGCGGAAUUCCUGGUGUAGCGGUGAAAUGCGCAGAUAUCAGGAGGAACACCGGUGGCGAAGGCGGCUUGCUGGGCCAGUUCUGACGCUGAGGAGCGAAAGCGUGGGGAGCGAACAGG